GGGCCUAUAGCUCAGUUCUGGUUAGAGCGCACGCCUGAUAAGCGUGAGGUCACUGGUUCAAGUCCAGUUAGGCCCACCA
rnacentral:tRNA from 8 species